AUAAAAUAUUACAGUUUAACUACUACUACUACUAGAUAAUCUGACCGAAUCUUGCUAGGAUGUUCUGACUAGGUUUUUUGACAGACUUUUUGUAAUGCAGUUAUUGAUAUCGGGCUUGGGCGGGUAACCAUUUACUCGCCAAACCGCAACGGAACGCUUCGCAAUCGCACAAGAUUCACUUAUGCCCGGUUUACACUUUGUUAAGUUAACACUGCAGGUGAUUAGUGCAGGUGUUUAGUAAUCAAGGUGUGAACGGAAGCGUAAAGUGAUUAACGUUAAGUGAUACGUGCGAUUAGUACUUAUUGAUUAGUGCGAGUGAAUAGAAUCAAGGUCUAUUUUUGUUGUUAAGUGACUACCCCCUCUCAACUUUUCUACUACCCUCUCUCGCAAUUUGCCGCGCAGUGUGUUGCGCAGUGUCAAGUUCAAAGCGAAAAUGAAGUGGACGGAAGAUUCUCGCCACAGAGUGUUUCUGGUUAGCACGUGUGUCUAGAGUUUUUGUUUAUUUUCAGUGAAUUGGUGACUUUUUGUGACUUGUUUUUGUUGCUGUGUGUUGUCCUUGUGUGCGUUAUUGUGUGUGUACGUUUUUUCGUCUAGUAGUUGCCGUCCUACUAACCCAACAAGAUCUACAAUCAGUUAAAUUAUUAUUCUUUCCCAAAGUUGUUUGUUUGGCAUCACGACGUGCUUAUCAUUUCACUCGUCAGUGGCAGAAUCGUUGAUAUCGACAUCGACAAUUUGCCAUAACCAAAAAUAGAAUAGAAUAGAA